rfam:Pantoea stewartii subsp. stewartii DC283 WGS_Sequence02, whole genome shotgun sequence.
GAAGCUGACCAGACAGUCGCCGCUUUGUCGUCGUCCCUCUCUGAGGGAGACGGGCAAAGGGGAGGAAAGUCCGGGCUCCAUAGGGCAGGGUGCCAGGUAACGCCUGGGGGGGAAACCCACGACCAGUGCAACAGAGAGCAAACCGCCGAUGGCCCAGCAAUGGGAUCAGGUAAGGGUGAAAGGGUGCGGUAAGAGCGCACCGCGCGGCUGGUAACAGUCCGUGGCACGGUAAACUCCACCCGGAGCAAGGCCAAAUAGGGGUUCACAUGGUACGGCCCGUACUGAACCCGGGUAGGCUGCUUGAGCCAGUAAGCGAUUACUGGCCUAGAUGAAUGACUGUCCACGACAGAACCCGGCUUAUCGGUCAGUUUCGACU